rnacentral:tRNA from 1 species
GCCACCCUAAUUAGGGGCGUAGUUCAAUUGGUAGAGCACCGGUCUCCAAAACCGGGUGUUGGGAGUUCGAGUCUCUCCGCCCCUGCCAGAAAUAAUCCUUAGCAUCUGCUAAGGAUUUUUUUUUGCCUAAAAUUACCUGAUUAUCUGAUCAGGUAAUCGUAAGUUCCCUUCUUUUUCUUUUCAUCAUUUUCAUUGUUCAUCCAGCACAUCCGUUUUUAACAGAUCGCAGAUCAGCGAGUAUUUAUCGCUGUUUUGCAGCCAAAUAGCGUAUAGUGGCCGUGAAAGCGUUGCGCUGUCGGCAACGGUAUGUAAUCCGCCCUUUUCAUUUGCCCAGUUUACAGGAAGCCAGCUACAGCCAUUUAA